GAGUUUGAUCUUGGCUCAGAUUGAACGCUGGCGGCAUGCCUUACACAUGCAAGUCGAACGGCAGCAUGAUCUAGCUUGCUAGAUUGAUGGCGAGUGGCGAACGGGUGAGUAAUACAUCGGAACGUGCCCUGUAGUGGGGGAUAACUAGUCGAAAGAUUAGCUAAUACCGCAUACGACCUGAGGGUGAAAGUGGGGGACCGCAAGGCCUCAUGCUAUAGGAGCGGCCGAUGUCUGAUUAGCUAGUUGGUGGGGUAAAGGCCCACCAAGGCGACGAUCAGUAGCUGGUCUGAGAGGACGAUCAGCCACACUGGGACUGAGACACGGCCCAGACUCCUACGGGAGGCAGCAGUGGGGAAUUUUGGACAAUGGGCGAAAGCCUGAUCCAGCAAUGCCGCGUGUGUGAAGAAGGCCUCGGUGUAA
rnacentral:rRNA from 1 species